UACGUAGGGAGCGAGCGUUAUCCGGAAUUAUUGGGCGUAAAGGGUGCGUAGGUGGCAAUGUAAGUCUUAUGUAAAAAUGCUAGGCUCAACCUAGUAGGGCAUAAGAUACUGCAUAGCUCGAGUAUUGGAGAGGCAAGUGGAACUCCAUGUGUAGCGGUAAAAUGCGUAAAUAUAUGGAAGAACACCAGUGGCGAAGGCGGCUUGCUAGCCAGAUACUGACAUUGAGGCACGAAAGCGUGGGGAGCAAACA
rnacentral:rRNA from 1 species